rnacentral:rRNA from 1 species
GAUGAACGCUGGCGGCGUGCCUAAUACAUGCAAGUCGAGCGAACAGAUGAGGAGCUUGCUCCUCUGACGUUAGCGGCGGACGGGUGAGUAACACGUGGAUAACCUACCUAUAAGACUGGGAUAACUUCGGGAAACCGGAGCUAAUACCGGAUAAUAUAUUGAACCGCAUGGUUCAAUAGUGAAAGACGGUUUUGCUGUCACUUAUAGAUGGAUCCGCGCCGCAUUAGCUAGUUGGUAAGGUAACGGCUUACCAAGGCAACGAUGCGUAGCCGACCUGAGAGGGGGAUAGGCCACACUGGAAGUGAGACACGGUCCAGACGACUGAGGGAGGCAGCAGUCGGGAAUCGGCGGCAACGGGCGAAAGCAUGACGGAGUAGAGCCGAGUGAGUGAUGAAGGUCUUCGGAUCGGAAAAAUCGGUUAUUGGGGAAGAACAAAUGUGGAAGGUAACAAGCACGGCGUGACGGUAACGAAUCAGAAAGCAACGGCUAACUACGUG